UUUGAUCCAUUUCUAAAGCUUGGUGAUGUCUUCUUGUAGGAAAUCCACAGUCAACAGGUUAAACAUCUAAAUGCUCAUAUGUUAACAAGAGAUUUAAAACACCACAGGCAUUAUGCAGUGACAAAAAAAUAUAAAAAAUAUGGAGGAAAUAUGGGUGAAAAAUGGUGGCUUCUGGCUAGCCUAUCAAGAGAUAAUGAUAAGUGGUGGGUGUGUAGAGAGGUGGGGUACUGCGUAUGAGUCCAGAUAAGAAAACUGAUAAACGAUCGAACUUCUGGAGGUUAGCUAACGUUGCAAUACUGUUUUGCUUCCCAUGGGCUGCACUACACACCAAAUACACUACAUAAACACGAUCUCCAUGCACGCUGCUUCCUUCCCCGUUUCUUUUGAUGCCUGAUACAAUGAAGCAGCGUCUGGCAUAACGUCAGAUUAAUGAGGAAAGGAAAUGCUGAAUAAAAAACUGGCACGCGGCACUCAAGCACAGGAAGCAAUCGGCCAAUCGCAGCGCAUCCUGUAUCGGUGUGGCUAUCACGUGCAUGUGGACUGCUUUCCUAGUGUGCCCAGCGUCCCUAACUGGGUUGCAUCACGGGAACAUCAGGUGUACCACGGAUGGACACUAUGUCGACUUAGCUGAUUAGUUUAAACAGGUUGCACAAAGCAUAUUGUGUGUGAAAUAUAUGAAGAAGUAAUGUUAGGAACGGAGAGCUCCUGCUGACCUUCACGGAGGAGUGGCAGUGGACCCGGAGGCACAGAGGUAACUCAGCAGAGAGUGCUGCUGCCAGGGCCCGGAGGCUGUAGGGUGGCCGGCGAGGAUCUGCAUACACCACCACAUCAUGUAACCUCCCGGGCUGAGAGCCGCCUGAUGAAGAAAACACCAUUGAAGAAAACAUGUGUAACACCCACCUGUGAGCUGAGAAGUGACAGCCUGGACAGUACCCUCCAGUGUGACACCCAUUUUAGAGGCAAUGCUGGCAACCUUGGCCUGCAGGGCUGACAGCUUGUCUAAAAUUAGCUCCUGCCUCUUGCUC